rnacentral:rRNA from 1 species
AGUGAACGCUGGCGGUAGGCCUAACACAUGCAAGUCGAACGGCAGCACAGUAAGAGCUUGCUCUUACGGGUGGCGAGUGGCGGACGGGUGAGGAAUACAUCGGAAUCUACUUUUUCGUGGGGGAUAACGUAGGGAAACUUACGCUAAUACCGCAUACGACCUACGGGUGAAAGCAGGGGAUCUUCGGACCUUGCGCGAUUGAAUGAGCCGAUGUCGGAUUAGCUAGUUGGCGGGGUAAAGGCCCACCAAGGCGACGAUCCGUAGCUGGUCUGAGAGGAUGACCAGCCACACUGGAACUGAGACACGGUCCAGACUCCUACGGGAGGCAGCAGUGGGGAAUAUUGGACAAUGGGCGCAAGCCUGAUCCAGCCAUACCGCGUGGGUGAAGAAGGCCUUCGGGUUGUAAAGCCCUUUUGUUGGGAAAGAAAAGCAGCAGGUUAAUACCCCGCUGUUCCGACGGUACCCAAAGAAUAAGCACCGGCUAACUUCGUG